rnacentral:rRNA from 1 species
AAGGCAUACGGCUCAGUAACGCGUAGUCAACCUAACCUAUGGACGGGAAUAACCUCGGGAAACUGAGAAUAAUGCCCGAUAGAACAUUAUGCCUGGAAUGGUUUAUGUUCCAAAUGAUUUAUCGCCGUAGGAUGGGACUGCGGCCUAUCAGUUUGUUGGUGAGGUAAUGGCCCACCAAGACUAUUACAGGUACGGGCUCUGAGAGGAGUAGCCCGGAGAUGGGUACUGAGACACGGACCCAGGCCCUAUGGGGCGCAGCAGGCGAGAAAACUUUGCAAUGUGCGAAAGCACGACAAGGUUAAUCCGAGUGGUUUCUGCUAAAGAAACCUUUUGUCAGUCCUAGAAACACUGAUGAAUAAGGGGUGGGCAAGUUCUGGUGUCAGCCGCCGCGGUAAAACCAGCACCUCAAGUGGUCAGGAUGAUUAUUGGGCCUAAAGCAUCCGUAGCCGGCUCUGUAAGUUUUCGGUUAAAUCUGUACGCUCAACGUACAGGCUGCCGGGAAUACUGCAGAGCUAGGGAGUGGGAGAGGUAGACGGUACUCGGUAGGAAGGGGUAAAAUCCUUUGAUCUAUUGAUGACCACCUGUGGCGAAGGCGGUCUACCAGAACACGUCCGACGGUGAGGGAUGAAAGCUGGGGGAGCAAACCGGAUUAGAUACCCGGGUAGUCCCAGCUGUA